rnacentral:misc_RNA from 1 species
UGGCAUGCUGGACAGUGCCACUGUCUUGCUGGUUCAUUGAUUUGCUCAACAGUCAAACUGUCUAAACUCUCAAAAAAUUUCUUGAACCAUCUGCUAUUCUUGCGAGUCUCGUGACUCUUUUGGCUAGCAUCUGAAUCAAAGUCUUCACUAUGAAGCUCAUCAUCUGUAUCAUCAAUGGCAUCGUCAUCCUCAUCAUCUUCAUCAUCAACAUCAUUUUCCUUGCUAACUUCAGUAUCUUCAUUUUUUUUUUUACCAUCUUCUGAAAUAUUAGGAACAGUUGCACCAGCUCUAGAUUGCCAAUUCCAUCCAUGCUCC